AACGAACGCUGGCGGCAUGCCUAACACAUGCAAGUCGAACGAACCCUUCGGGGUUAGUGGCGCACGGGUGCGUAACGCGUGGGAAUCUGCCCUUUGCUUCGGAAUAACAGUUAGAAAUGACUGCUAAUACCGGAUGAUGUCUUCGGACCAAAGAUUUAUCGGCAAAGGAUGAGCCCGCGUAGGAUUAGGUAGUUGGUGGGGUAAAGGCUUACCAAGCCGACGAUCCUUAGCUGGUCUGAGAGGAUGAUCAGCCACACUGGGACUGAGACGCGGCCCAGACUCCUACGGGAGGCAGCAGUGGGGAAUAUUGGACAAUGGGGGAAACCCUGAUCCAGCAAUGCCGCGUGAGUGAUGAAGGCCUUAGGGUUGUAAAGCUCUUUUACCAGGGAUGAUAAUGACAGUACCUGGAGAAUAAGCUCCGGCUAACCCCGUGCCAGCCGCCGCCGUAAAAC
rnacentral:rRNA from 1 species